UUCAGCUUCAGGAUCUUUCCGGCUAUGGCAUAUUUUUGGCUGGUGUAGAAGAGUUUGUUGCUGCUUACCCAGACCGUGCUUUUCAGUCUCCGUUGGUUCAACUAAUGGUAGAAAAUGGACGGGAAGGUAAGAAGAAUGGUAAAGGAUAUUACACGUAUAAUAAAAGAAGCAAACCAGAAGCUGAUCACUCUGUGCUACAAAUUGUUGAAGAGUCUAUGAGACUUACCAAUAUUGCUCCUGCUGGAAAGCCAAUAUCUGUGACAGAUGAAGAAAUUCUAGAAAUGAUAUUCUUUCCAGUGGUGAAUGAGG
rnacentral:misc_RNA from 1 species